GUUAACCGCCAUAAAUUUCUUAGCGGCAACCAUUAAAAAACGUCGUAUUUGUUAAUUAUGGCCGUUGAAAAUACCUCAAUCUUUUUAAAUAACCGCCACAAUUCACACCUUUUUCUUUAGUGACACUUUUCUACUUCACAUAACCAAAUUCAUCACUAGCAAUAAGCAGGAGCAGAAAAAACACAACCACAAUAAUCAACAAGCAAAAAAAACAAAGAAUGAAUGAAAGGGGAUAUGCAGAACUGUGAAUCCACACGGUCGCCCUCUCCCUCUUUUGAAACCGAACCACCAACCACAUCUUCCUCCGCGAGUCCGACAAUUGCGAAACUCAACCGUUCACGCCACCACCAUCAAAACAACAAAAUAUCAUAGAAGAAAGGAAGAAGAAGAGGGGAACCAAACAGUCGCAUAAACCACACUCUCUGCGGGAAACACGGUCCAAACAUCCGGAAACCGUUGUGAAACAUUCCACCGACGAUAACUUUCUCUUCCUCGCGACACUAACCAUUUCCAGCCGCCAUUCUCUCUCUUUUCAUGAUAUGUUUUUUGCUUCUACAACUUUUCUGAAAAUAGAAAACGCGUUUGGUUUGAUAUAAGUUUGAAAAGUCAACACCCAUUAAUCACCCAUGACAUGUACAUAAGCAUAAAUCAAGAGCUAUGUAACUUUUAAAUGUAUUGGGUUGAACGAAAAGUUUCUCUACUCUGUUUGCUGCAAGUUACAAAACACAUGAUCUGUUUGUUGUUCGUGUAGUUUAUUUGUAACUCGUAAGUUGAAGUUCAUUUUAAAAUCUAUUAAAGUUAAAAUAGUGUGUGCGAUGUGAAGAUUUAGAAAAUAAUGUUUUUCUAUUAUGUUAUUGAUAAUCCGCCACUGUAGUAGAAAUUGUUUAUAAAACAUUUCAAAAUACAUUAAUAUGCAGUGUGAUUG
rnacentral:lncRNA from 1 species